CCGGAGAAUGUUAUCACGGGAGACACACGGCGGGUGCUAACGUCCGUCGUGAAGAGGGAAACAACCCAGACCGCCAGCUAAGGUCCCAAAGUCAUGGUUAAGUGGGAAACGAUGUGGGAAGGCCCAGACAGCCAGGAUGUUGGCUUAGAAGCAGCCAUCAUUUAAAGAAAGCGUAAUAGCUCACUGGUCGAGUCGGCCUGCGCGGAAGAUGUAACGGGGCUAAACCAUGCACCGAAGCUGCGGCAGCGAACGUAUCACUUAAAGCGAUUCAGCGGGUUACGAUUGACGGAGCGAAGCGACGUCAAAGCGUAUACAAAGUCGAGUCGGUUUAAGGAUACGUUCGUUGGGUAGGGGAGCGUUCUGUAAGCCUGUGAAGGUGKSYYGUGAGGSWUGCUGGAGGUAUCAGAAGUGCGAAUGCUGACAUAAGUAACGAUAAAGCGGGUGAAAAGCCCGCUCGCCGGAAGACCAAGGGUUCCUGUCCAACGUUAAUCGGGGCAGGGUGAGUCGACCCCUAAGGCGAGGCCGAAAGGCGUAGUCGAUGGGAAACGGGUUAAUAUUCCCGUACUUGGUGUUACUGCGAAGGGGGGACGG
rnacentral:rRNA from 1 species